rnacentral:rRNA from 3 species
UACGGAGGGGGCUAGCGUUGUUCGGAAUUACUGGGCGUAAAGCGCACGUAGGCGGACUGUUAAGUCGGGGGUGAAAUCCUGGGGCUCAACCUCAGAAUUGCCUCCGAUACUGGCAGUCUCGAGUGCGGGAGAGGUGAGUGGAAUUCCCAGUGUAGAGGUGAAAUUCGUAGAUAUUGGGAAGAACACCAGUGGCGAAGGCGGCUCACUGGCCCGUAACUGACGCUGAGGUGCGAAAGCGUGGGGAGCAAACAGG